AAUCUUGCGCAAUGGGCGAAAGCCUGACGCAGCCAUGCCGCGUGAAUGAUGAAGGUCUUAGGCUUGUAACAUUCUUUCACCGGGGACGAUAAUGACGGUACCCGGAGAAUAAGCCCCGGCCAACUUCGUGCCUGCAGACGCGGUAAUACGAAGGGGGCUAGCGUUGCCCGGAAUUACUGGGCGUAAAGGGAGAGUAGGCGGACAUUUAAGUCAGGGGUGAAAUCCCAGAGCUCAACUCUGGAACUGCCUUUGUUACUGGGUGUCUUGAGUGUGAGAGAGGUAUGUGGAACUCCGAGUGUAGAGGUGAAAUUCGUAGAUAUUCGGAAGAACACCAGUGGCGAAGGCGACAUACUGGCUCAUUACUGACGCUGAGGCGCGAAAGCGUGGGGAGCAAACA
rnacentral:rRNA from 1 species